rnacentral:lncRNA from 10 species
GGAACUAUUUCAGAGCCAGAGGAGGAUAGUGGCGGCGGCGAACUUUGCCCGGUAGAUUUUACUGACUGGGGUGCUGGCGCGCGCCUUUUUCUCGGCCAGAAUCCAGUUAUUGGGAUAGUCUUGACUUCUACCUCAGCCCAACUUCUGUGGUCGUAAUAUUAGUUUAGCUUGGGUUUGCCGUGAAGUAAGAAGACUGACUUCCGCAAAGGUACUGAACGACUGGGUGUAGGUGCCAGGGCAUGGACGUGAAGCUGGAACCGCGAAAUGAGUUAGUUGUGGGCCGCUGGCCUCAAGGAGCGAACGUCAGCGCGAAGAGGAGAAGCUUGUGCAUACGCUCUGAUAAGGGUUUUAAUAGAGAGAUGGAAUCUCGCUGUGUCACCCAGGCUGGAAUGCAGUGACUCGAUCAUAACUCACUAUGACCUCGAACUCCCAGGCUAAAGCAGUCCUCAAGCAAUCCUUCCACCUCAGCCUUCUGAGUAGCUGGGAGUAGCUGAUUAACUAAUGCGUGUCACCACGCCCAGCUAAUUUGUGUAUGUGUGUGCACAGGUGUAGAGCUAGGGGUCUUGCUAUGUUGCUCAGGCUAGUCUUGAACUCCUGGCCUCAAGCAGUCUUGUCUUGACCUCUCAAACCAGUGGGACUGUAGGUGUGAGCCAUUGCUCCUGGCUGAGCACUGUUUUUUUUAGGACAGACUGUAUUCAUUGUUGCAAUCUUCAGCUUUUGGAACAUCGUCUAGGACAGAGAAGCUGCACAAUAUGUAUUUAUCGAAUGAGUGAAUGAUACUUUUGGGAGAGAAGACAGUGGGUUGGAGAAAUAUCUUGGAAGAAUUGGAAAUUUUAGGUGGACCUUGAAGAAAGGGUAAAAUUCAAUUAGGACACAAGCAGUGAUCAAAAGCAUUGAGUUGGGAACAAAGUGGUAGGAUGUGGGAGUUAGUAUAUAGUAAAAACAACUAAAAUAUAGAAAGAGAUUAUGUGUUUAAUAGAAAUAGGAUUGACUAAAGUGAAUCCACGUUGUAUCUGUAAGAGGUCCAUCGUUGAACUUUAUUUUUUUUUGUUUUGUUUUUGAGACAGGGUCUCACUCUGUUAUCUAGGCUGGAGUGCGGUGGCACAAUCUCAGCUCACUGCAGCCUCAGCCUCCCAGGUUCAAGUGAUUCUCCUGCUUCAGCCUCCCAUAUAGGGAUUACAGGCCUGCACCACCACACCUGGCUAAUUUUUGUAUUUUUAGUACAGACGGGAUUUCACCAUGUUGGCCAGGCUGGUCUCGAACUCCUGACUUCAAGUGAUCCACCCGCCUCGGCCUUCCAGAGUGCUGGGAUUACAGGCCUGAGCCACUGCACCCAGCCACCUGUAUUUAUUUUUGAGACAGGGUCUUGUUCUGUCGCCUUGGCUGGAGUGCAGUGGUGCAAUCAUGGCUCACUGCAGCCUUGACUUCCCAGGCUCAAUGAAUAGCUGGGACUACAGGUGUGCACCACCAUACCCGGCUAAUUUUUGUAUUUUUUGUAGAGAUGGUGUUUCGCCAUCUUGCCCAAGCUGGUCUCAAACUCCUGGCCUCAAGUGAUCCACCCGUCUAGGCCUCCUACAGUGCUGGGAUUACAGGGUUGAGCCACCACACCCAGCCUCAUGGUUGAAUUUUAGGAGAGCCGUACAUCUCCUCCUGAUAAUACAUGCAAAACUUCAUGUGUCCAUUUUUUUCUGAGUUGAAGUUUCAUAGUUUUCAUCCAAUUCUCAAAGGUGUUUAUAAACCAAUAAAGGUUAAGAAUCAUGUUGUGCAUUUGAAAGACUAAUAGAAAGGCUUAAGCUUAAUGCUGUAGCAAAUUAGUCUUCAAAAGUUUUCUACCAUAGCAUUCAUUAGGAACAGAAGAGGGGGAAUGAGACCCUAAGAUUUAGAGAUGAAGUCUGAAACUUAGGACUUUAUAUUUAUCUGAACAUCAUAUGUAAAUUUUACUAUUAUGGGACUGGUAUUAAUGCUUCCUUAUAAAAAUAUAUUUAGCCUCAUCAGUGAUCAGGGAACCAUAUUUGGGACCAGUCUGUUCAGUUGGCAAAAAUUAAAAAGGCCAUCAUAUCAGAAAGGAGAAGGUAAAAUGAUUUGUUCACAGACAGCAUGAUCUUUUAUGUACAAAACCCUAAAGAUUCCACCCAAAAAACCCUGUUAGAACUAAAAAACAAAGUUGCAGGAUGCAAAACCACACAAAAUUUAGUUGCAUUUCGAUGUAAAAUUUAAAAAGGAAAUCUUAAAAAUUCCAUUUGCAACAGCAUCAGAACUAAAAUACUUGUGAAUAAAUUUAACCAAAGAGGCAAGACUUGUACACUGACAACUACAAACAUUGCUGAAGCAAAUUAAAGAAUAUAGAAAUAAGUGGAAUGACGCACUGUGUUCAUAGAUUGAAACAGUUAAUAUUAAGAUGUUGAUACUACUCAAAGUGAUCUACAGAUUCAUUAGGUAAUCCCUGUCAAAAUCCCAGUGACUUUUUUUCAGAAAUAGAAAAAUUCAUCCUAAAAUGUAUAUGAAAACUCAGAGUACCCCAAAUAGCCAAACAAUUUUGCAAGAGAACAAAGUUGAAGGUCUCAUGCUUCCUGAUUUCAAAAUUUAACUAUAAAGCUACAGUAAUCAAAACACUGUAGUCCUAGCAUAAAGACAGACAUAUAGAAUAAAGAACCCAGAACUAAACCCUCACAUAUAUGGUCAAUUGAUUUUUGACAAGGUUGUCAAGACCAGUCAAUCAAUGGAGAAAGGAUAUCCAGUUUUCUCCAUUUUUACAUGUGGAUAUCCAGUUUUCCCAACACCAUGUAUUUAAAAGAUAAAUAACCUAAAUGAUAAAUCUAAAUGUCUAAAAAAUAAAUAAUCUAAAAAUAUCCAGUUUUUUUGGGGUCAGGUGCAGUGGCUUACGCCUGUAAUCCCAACACUUCGGGAGGCCGAGGUGGGCAGAUCACUUGAGGUCAGGAGUUCGAGACUAGCCUGGCCAACAUGGUGAAACCCCAUCUCUACUAUAAAUGCAAAAAUUAUCUGGGUGUGGUAGCGGGCACCUGUAAUCCCAGCUACUUGAGAGCCAGAGGCUCGAGAAUCGCUUGAACCCGAGAGGCUGAGGUUGCAGUGAGCCAAGAUCGUGCCACUGCAUUCCAGUUGGGGUGACAGAGCGAGACUGAGUCAAAAAAAAAAAAAAUCCAGUUUUCCCAACAGCAUUUAUCUUUUCAAUAAAUGGUGUAUUUUGCAUGUGGAUAAUCCAGUUUUCCCAACACGAUUUAUCUUUAAGAUAGCCACAUGCAAAAUUAACUCAAAAUGGAUCAAAGACUUAAAUGAAAGUGCUAAAACUCUUAGAUGAAAACAGGAAAACCUUCAUGACAUUGGAUUUGGCAAUGAUUUAUUGAAUAUAACACCAGAAGCAAAGGCAACAAAAAAUAAAUUGGACUUUAUCAAAAUUAAAAAUGUUUAUUCAUCAAAGGACACAACAGAGUGAAAAGGAAACUCAUGGAAUGGGAGAAAUAUUUACAAAGCAUAUAUCUGGUAAGGGAUUAAAAUCCAUUAUAAAUACAUUUUAAAAUCCUUCAACUCACCAAAUAAAAUCCCAAUUCAAAAAUGGGCAAAGGACUUAAACAAAGGUUUCUCCAAAGAAGAUAAGCAAAUGGCUGAUAAGCCCAUGAAAAGAUGGUCAACAUAACUAACUAGGGAAUUGCAAAACAAACCACUUCACACUCAUUAGGAUGGCAGUUAUUUAAAAAAAAACAAAACAGGGCCAGGUGCAGUGGCUCAUGCCUGUAAUCCCAGCACUUUGGGAGGCCGAGGCGGGUGUAUCACGAGGUUGGGAGUUCAAGACCAGCAUGAACAACAUGGUGAAACCCUGUCUGUACUAAAAAUACAAAAAUUAGGUGUGGUGGCGUAUGCCUGUAAUCCCAGCUUCUCAGGAAGCUGAAGCAGGAGAAUCACUUGAACACAGGAGGUGGAGGUUGCAGUGAGCCGAGAUCAUGCCACUGCACUCUAGCCUGGGCGACAGACCGAGACUCCAUCUCAAAAAAAAAAAAAAAAGUAUUAGUGAGGAAGUGAAGAAAGUCAACCCCUUAUGCAUUGCUGGGAUGAAUAUAAAAUGAUACAGUCGGGAUGGGAAAUCAGUAUGGUUGUUCCUCAAAAAAUUAAACCUAAGGUUGGGCACAGUGGCUCACGCUUGUAAUCCCUGCACUUCGGGAGGCUGAGGCAGGUGGAUCUUGUGAGCCCAAAAGUUUGAGAUCAUCCUGGGCAACAUGGCAAAACCCUGUCUCUAGAAAAAGUACAAAAAUUAGCCAGGUGUAAUAGUACAUGCCUGUAGUUCCAGCUACUCAGGAGGCUGAGGUGGGAGGAUCACCUGUGCCCAGGAGGUUGAGGCUGCAGUGAGCCAUGAGCAUGCCACUGCACUAAAUAAAGAAUUACCAUAGGAUCCAGCAAUUCCACUUCUAGUAUCUACCAAAAGAAUUGAAAGCAGGGACUUCAAAAGAUAUUUAUAUAUCCAUGUUCAUGGCAGCAUUAUUCACAGUAGCCAAAAGGUGGAAGUAUCCCAAGGGUCCAUCAAUGGAUGAAUGGAUAAAAUAAUAUGGUAUAUACAUACAAUGGGAUAUCAUUCUGCCUUGAGAAAUUCUGACAUGUGUUAUAACAUGGAUGAACUUUGAAGAUACACUAAGUGAGAUAAGCUAGCCACAAAAGAACAAAUAGUGUAUGAUUUCUCUAAUACCAGAAGUAAACCAAAAGUAUCCAAGACAGGUCUCAAUCCAUUUAGGAAGUUUAUUUUGACAGGGUUAAGGAUGUACCUGUAAUACAGCCUCAAGUGGUCCCAAGGUGGUCGGGGUACAGCUUGCUUUUAUACGUUUUAGAGAGUCAUGAGACAUCAAUCAAUACAUGUAAGAUGUACAUUGGUUUAAUCUGGAAAGGCAGGAACACUUGAAACUGGGGCUUCCAGGUCAUAGGUAGAUUAAAAAAAUUUUUUUAUUAUACUUUUAGGGUACAUGUGCACAACAUGCAGG